rnacentral:lncRNA from 1 species
UAGCCUUAAACCAGCAACAUGCAAGUAGAAAGAAGAUGCAUUUUUUGGACGUGGGCUUGGACCUGCAUGGUGGGGAGCUCUGCACCACUGUUUAUGGAGGGCCGAUGUAUGAGCCGGUCAUUGUUCCGAAGUGGUCCCAUGACCCAGCCUCCUAUGGGCUGUCCAUGUUCGGAUUCUAUUUUGAAAGGGCAGAGGUCUGCAACAGCAGCGAGGGGGGGAAAGAGAGGGAAUUGCAAUGCAUCUGUUGAACCGGUUACUUAUGCAGGUGUGCAGGGGAUUUCUUGGGGAAAGUCCACGAUGGGGUCCAGCGGUCCCUGACUGAAGAGGUGGCGCCGGGAGGGGUGAAGGGUGCCACAUGUCAACCAGUGCCC